CCUACGGGAGGCAGCAGUGGGGAAUAUUGGACAAUGGGCGAAAGCCUGAUCCAGCCAUGCCGCGUGAGUGAUGAAGGCCCUAGGGUUGUAAAGCUCUUUUGUGCGGGAAGAUAAUGACGGUACCGCAAGAAUAAGCCCCGGCU
rnacentral:rRNA from 1 species